GGCAGAGCAAAUGCUCAGGUUAAACAGUUCCGGAAAGAGAUAAAAGAGACUGGCAUAUGGCCCCUGCUAACAGCCAGACCUGAUGUCCUGCCCGUUUUGUUCCCCCGUGAGACAUACAUUGAACUCACCCCCAAAAUGGUCCUUAAAUGCAUAAUUUGGCCAGGGGAGAGCAUUGACAGUGAUGACAGUGAGGACGAGAUGCCAACAGCAAAUACCAGUAUCAUCUCGGGGUUCUUUAGAACCUUUGUCAAAGAAGCAUCUUCAGACGUCCUGAAAGACCUGUUGAAGUUUUGGACCGGGUGGGAAUUGCCUGCCAAGCGACUAACGUUAGAAGUUGUUAGAUCCCGCGGACAUCAUCAUCUACCAACUUCAAGUACGUGCUAUGAGGGACUGAGAAUCCCAAAUCACUAUAAGAGUGUCACUGAAUUAAGAUCAGACCUCCAUACAUGCCUUCAGUCAGUUGAGACUGAAGGUGGUUCU